rnacentral:rRNA from 1 species
GCGGCGUGCCUAAUACAUGCAAGUAGAACGCUGAAGGAGGAGCUUGCUCUUCUGGAUGAGUUGCGAACGGGUGAGUAACGCGUAGGUAACCUGCCUGGUAGCGGGGGAUAACUAUUGGAAACGAUAGCUAAUACCGCAUAAGAGUAGAUGUUGCAUGACAUUUGCUUAAAAGGUGCAAUUGCAUCACUACCAGAUGGACCUGCGUUGUAUUAGCUAGUUGGUGAGGUAACGGCUCACCAAGGCGACGAUACAUAGCCGACCUGAGAGGGUGAUCGGCCACACUGGGACUGAGACACGGCCCAGACUCCUACGGGAGGCAGCAGUAGGGAAUCUUCGGCAAUGGACGGAAGUCUGACCGAGCAACGCCGCGUGAGUGAAGAAGGUUUUCGGAUCGUAAAGCUCUGUUGUAAGAGAAGAACGAGUGUGAGAGUGGAAAGUUCACACUGUGACG